AGUUAAAAAGGACUCUGCUUAAAUGAUACUGUCUGUUAUCUUUCCUGACCACUUCGAGAAGUAGCGAUGACUUAUCCAGUUUCUGCUGAGCGUGGCAUAAAGGACAAUGGAUAAUCAUACAACCCCUUGACAAGUCCCGUCCGUCACCCCACUUCUUAAUGCUCUGUGCCAACACUGAACUCCAGUUAUUGGUUCUGUUAGUGAUGCUGUGACAUUGCAUAUAUUUAUUUACGUGUUACCUAUCUGUCAAUGCCGAAAUAACUACGAGAGCCAAAGGACUUUCUCAGCUGACGUCACCACUGGAUUCUCACUGCCUGGAACCCCUGGCCAGCUACACGUGGCUUGAAGAUAUUGACGUCAGGAGGUCCACUGGGGACUCUUCGCAGAUGACCGACCCUCCCUUUCGUCAUCAUUGCUGUGGAUCCCUGAAAACCAACAUUCAAAAUCCUCUUCUGACUUGACGUUGGAGAAGACAAUGGCACCUGGACUGGCAGUGUAGACAUCCCAACCUGGCCCACUACACUUACAGAUUGUCUGGGAUGGGCACCCUGCAACAGGAUGGCAGAGUUGUCACAGAUACACCAGCCAACCUCUAAGAGCAUAGCGGUUACCAGGCUUUGGAGGCUCUGGCAUUUAAGGAUCAGGGUGCUCUCAGAUCUAAGCUGAUGGCAGUGUGUUGAGUAAGGAAGGAAACAUGACUCAAACAAGAAGGAGAAUUCAGCUGGAGCCCCAACCUCCUUCAGAAGCCUCCUCCGGACUUUGAGGUCUAGGGACAGUGCUGAUCCCCACAUGGAUGCUGAUGGAUAAUAUAGUGCUGAUGACCCUGUGUGGAUCUGAUGGAUAAUGUCACAGAAAGUCCCUUGAAAUAAGUGAGUGAGCCAAAUUCGAGAAUGGACAGAUCAGGAUGCUCCUACAGGGCAAGGACAAAGUUCUUCUCUUCAGCUUCCACCUCUCCUUUGGCCUCAUCUACACAAGGAGACAUCAGGUAAGCUAACACUUUAGUCGAUUCUAUGAAGAAAUAGAAUGGGGACACAUGGUGACUGUGUCUCAUCAGAUGACAACAGCAUGGAUUAUAUGGUACACCAUUGUUUCAUGUCCUACUAAGAAGAAACUUUUACACAGGUGUACAAUCAUGACAUGAGUGUCAGAACCGUCGAUAUAGGAAAGAAUGAAUUCAGAGAUCAACAAAAUAUUUCUACAUCGUUCUGCUCCCAGAUAAUUUUUUCAGUUAGUAAUUUGUUUUAAUGAUCUUUCUUCAUUAUUAUAAGGACCUAGUUCAUUGUAAAUACCAUCCACUGAUAUUCCAGACAAGGGAAUAAAACAAUCAUUUGUCUGUUGAUGAACCUUAUUUUUGGAUUUGAAAACAAUGCUUUCAUGAUGUUUCUCGAAUAUUUUGUGCAUUUUCUGAAUGUUUCCAUUUACCAGGCUAGGAUUAUAACAUCACAUAAAAGUUUGGCACUGUGGAUUUGUCCCCAUUAAGAAAAAGAGAACUAUCUACAAUCUAGCUACAGUAGUCAUUUCUCCAGGCCCUUGUCAAAUCUGGAUAACAAUGUUUCCUACUUCUCCAAUCUCAUUGGCCAAAAGCUACAUUGUGCUAUAUAAUUUGUGCUUUCCUGUUUAUCAGUGAAGGGAAGCGUAUUUCCCAGUGUGCUUUGGCCAUUUUCCUUUCUUCUCUGGUGCUAUGACCAUUCGUACCUUUUGUCAUUUAACCAUCAUGGGAUCCUACUUUAAUUAACUUACAGAUGGCUUUAUAUAAGAUUAAUAGUCUGUACGCAUGUAAAAUUCGUUUUCUUCCAUCUCUGAUUGCUCCAUACUUCUGUUGCUUUUGUUGAAUGUGGUGGUUUGAAUAGGAAUGGCCUCAUAGAUUCAUGUAUGUGAAUGCUUGGUCAUAGGAAGUGGCACUAUUAGGAGGUGUGACCUUGUUGAAGGAAGUGUGUCGCUGUGGGGGUGGGCUUUGAAGUCUCUUAUAUGCUCAGGCCAUGCCUAGUGUGGCACACAGUCUCUUCCUUGCUGCCCUCAGAUCAAGAUAUAGAACUCUCAGCUCUUUCUCCAGCACCAUGUCUGUCUGAAUGCUGCCAUGAUGAUAAUGGACUGAACCUCUGAAACUGUAAGACAGACCCAAUUAAAUGUUUUUCUUUAUAAGAGUUGCCUUGGUCAUGGUGUCUCUUCACAGAAAUAGAACCCUGACUAAGAUACUGAGAUAUAACUUUUUUGUGUAACUUUGGUGGCCUAUCUUCAUCCUCAGUUUGGAUUUAGAAACACCUGGGAGACAUACUUCCUGGCAUGUCUGGGAAGACUUUUCCAGAGAGUUUGAACUGCAGAGGGAAGAUCUGUGGCAGGACCCCACAGACAGGGGUCCUGAAGUACGUGUAAAUGGGAGAAUCAGGGGCAUACUGCUCUUUGUCUGUCUGCCUCAGACUCCAGGGUCACCGGUAUGGUCACCCCUCCCCCGCCAUGAUGGGUAGUAGGUACCCUCACACCAUCCUUCCUUCAGUUUCUUUUUGCCACAGCUAUGAAAAAAGUAAACAGGGCAGCAACACUCUCAUGUUACUACUGUUUAUGGCUUCUAGAAUUUGUCAUGUUUAGAAUGUCUUCCAAACUACAUAUUAAAUCAGUUUUCCAGUUGUGCAUGUGCGCAUGCGUGCGUGUGUGUGUGUGUUCAAUCAUGUGAGCAUGUGUACAUUCCAACCUUUUAUCAAGAGUUUAGUUUUAUACAUGUCAUGCAGGGGGAUAUAACUUUUGAGUUUUUAAUUGAUUUUCUUGUUGUUGCUAGUGGUUUUUGUUCUUUGAGGGUCUCACUGUGUAGCCUGGGCCAAGCACAGACUCAGUCCUGUUGUCUAAGGCUACAAAGCCCUAAGACUAAGGUUGGGCCACUAAGCUUAGCAACCUUCUCUGUCUCCUUAGCAGAUUUACCUCGUGUUCUUUGUUAAGUGGUUCAUCUUCUUCCCCUGACCUGGAAGUGGUCUUUAGCACUGGUUACAUUUCUUUGUUCAUCUGUUCCUUUCCUAGGUUUUCAAGUUUACUUCUAAAAUGUUUUCCCCAGCCUUUAUAUUAAUAAUUACUGUCCCUUUAUAUUUUUGUAGAUACUUAGGAGAAAAUGGUAGGAGAAAGAGAUCAAAAUGUACAUUGAAAAUGUUUUCUUCUGUGUGCCGGCCUCUAAGAUUUUGAGCAUCAGACAAUUGUACUGAACUUACAUGACCAUCAUUUCAAUAAGAUGUAGUAGUUUAAUUCUAAUAGUUCACUAGCUGAUAUGCUCCAUCCAACAUUGCACUGGCUUUCCAUGAAAGACCUUUUCUCUUCUUGGUAAAUUUUAGAGUGAUUUGUGGAGUUCCAUGAACCAGUCUCUGAAAUUUGAUUGAGGUUGUAUUAAUUUAUACAGCAAUUUUAUUGCAUUAAUUUUCAAGGUAAUGUAAUAGAAUAAAUUAGAGAAGAUAAAUAUACUUAUCAUUUUGGGUCUUCCCCAUUCAAAGUUACCUUACCUUGAUGUGGCCUAGUUUCCUUUUUUUAAAAUGAAAAUGAGAGUGUAAUUUAAACUACCUAUAACAGCUCUGAGGAAAACAAAGAAAUAGUUUACCUUAAAGUAACUUAGACAACUUGGUCAUUGAAAGAAUGUAAUACGGUGGUUAAUGUUGUUACCAAUUGUGCACAUGUUUCUAGAUAUUUCCUUGUAUCUUUACAACAGGGUUUUAGAGCUUCAGUCUUAGUAUUUAUAAUGUCUGAUUCCUAUUUAAUUUCCACUGCAUAUUCCAGUUGUUCACUGCUAGCACAUAGGAAAAGUAUACAUUAAAUAUCUGAAUAUUAAUUA